AUUGAACGCUGGCGGCAUGCCUUACACAUGCAAGUCGAACGGCAGCACGGGAGCAAUCCUGGUGGCGAGUGGCGAACGGGUGAGUAAUAUAUCGGAACGUGCCCAGUCGUGGGGAUAACGUAGCGAAAGCUACGCUAAUACCGCAUACGAUCUAUGGAUGAAAGCGGGGGAUCGCAAGACCUCGCGCGAUUGGAGCGGCCGAUAUCAGAUUAGGUAGUUGGUGAAGUAAAGGCUCACCAAGCCGACGAUCUGUAGCUGGUCUGAGAGGACGACCAGCCACACUGGGACUGAGACACGGCCCAGACUCCUACGGGAGGCAGCAGUGGGGAAUAUUGGACAAUGGGCGAAAGCCUGAUCCAGCAAUGCCGCGUGAGUGAUGAAGGCCUUC
rnacentral:rRNA from 1 species